rnacentral:tRNA from 2 species
GGGCCCGUAGCUUAGCAUGGUUAGAGCGCCCGGCUGAUAACCGGGAGGUCGGGGGUUCAAAUCCCCCCGGGCCCACCA